rnacentral:snRNA from 1 species
AUACUUACUUGGCAGGGGAGAUACUAUGAUCACGAAGGUGGUUUUCCCAGGGUGAGGCUUAUCCAUUGCACUCCGGAUGUGCUGACCGUUGUGAUUUCCCCAAAUGUGGGGAACUCGACUGCAUAAUUUGUGGUAGUGGGGAACUGCGUUCCUGCUUUCCCCUG